rnacentral:rRNA from 1 species
GCGAACGGGUGAGUAACACGUGAGUAACCUGCCCUUGACUCUGGGAUAAGCCUGGGAAACCGGGUCUAAUACUGGAUACGACCUUCUGGCGCAUGCCAUGUUGGUGGAAAGCUUUUGUGGUUUUGGAUGGACUCGCGGCCUAUCAGCUUGUUGGUGGGGUAAUGGCCUACCAAGGCGACGACGGGUAGCCGGCCUGAGAGGGUGACCGGCCACACUGGGACUGAGACACGGCCCAGACUCCUACGGGAGGCAGCAGUGGGGAAUAUUGCACAAUGGGCGCAAGCCUGAUGCAGCGACGCCGCGUGAGGGAUGAAGGCCUUCGGGUUGUAAACCUCUUUCAGUAGGGAAGAAGCCGGCCCUUCGGGGUUGGUGACGGUACCUGCAGAAGAAGCGCCGGCUAACUACGUGCCAGCAGCCGCGGUAAUACGUAGGGCGCAAGCGUUAUCCGGAAUUAUUGGGCGUAAAGAGCUCGUAGGCGGUUUGUCGCGUCUGCCGUGAAAGUCCGGGGCUUAACCCCGGAUCUGCGGUGGGUACGGGCAGACUAGAGUGCAGUAGGGGAGACUGGAAUUCCUGGUGUAGCGGUGAAAUGCGCAGAUAUCAGGAGGAACACCGAUGGCGAAGGCAGGUCUCUGGGCUGUAACUGACGCUGAGGAGCGAAAGCAUGGGGAGCGAACAGGAUUAGAUACCCUGGUAGUCCAUGCCGUAACGUUGGGCACUAGGUGUGGGGGACAUUCCACGUUUUCCGCGCCGUAGCUAACGCAUUAAGUGCCCC